AUAAAAGUAUAUACAGGAAGCACUGUAUAUCGAUCAUUUUUACACAGCCUUCAACAUGCUAAGAACUCUGAUUCUCUUGCUGCUGGUCCCAGCCGUUUCUUCGCAGCUUAAAUGGCGCUUAAUCUCAGCGACGAAGGAAUCGGACCAAUUCCCUGCGCCUCGGAGAGAUUCAUCGAUCGGGUUUGACCAAACGAAAAAGCAGUUGGUUAUUUUUGGCGGCAGAGGCGAUGAAAAUUAUGAUGAUACCUGGAUCUUCGAUUUGGGGACGAACAAUUGGACGAAAGUGGCCGCUACGACCGACGGUGGAGUCAACAUCCCGGAGCGACGCUUCAGUAUGGUUUACGGCACAGAGGGCGACAAUUUCUACGUAGCGACAGGUGAAUUUUCUGGCGAUUCUGACUCACCGAGGCGGUUCUUCAACGAUAUUUUUCGCUAUGAGUUUUCGACGCAACAAUGGACGAGGUUGGGGAACAACUCUGAGGUGAAGCCCCAAGAACGUUAUGGGUCAGCCGGUGGAAUCUUCAACGAUGGUAAAGGUGUUAACGGGUUUUACAUCACUCACGGCUUUUCCGGUACGCGAUACUCAAACACUUUCAAGUUUAACUUCGACGACAAUGUUUGGGAAGAAAAAUUUUCCGGUUCGAACAACUACAAUCCUAACUAUCCACAUGCCCGAUGUCUACACUCUGGGACUGUGACCAACCCAGAUGAACUUGUCAUGUAUGGAGGUUGUCUGGGGGGUGGAAUGACAGGUGGUUCAUGUCCUUCCAAAGAUAACUGGAAAUUUGAUGCCACCAAAACAGACUGGACUCGCUUGGAGGAGUGUUCCACACCACGGAUGUAUUCAUCAAUGGCUAUGCUGCCUCCACUUAAUGGCACUGAACGUCGAGCAGUGCUGUAUGGGGGAGCAGAAACGAGCAAAUCUGUGUUAGUGACAUCAAGAUAUGAGGCUAAUGAGAUAGCUGUGUUUAAUCCUGAUACAAACGAGUGGGAAAGGAAAAAAGUGGAGGGCACUUCACUUCCAGCAAGGAGAGCAGGCCAUGUGAUGGUAACAACAGAUCAAGGCAUCAUGAUGUUUGGUGGCUCAGGCCAAGAUGGUGAAGGAUCACUUAAUGACAUCUGGCUCCUAGAGGGUGAUGUUUCAGAGGCUGAUAAGACUGCAUCUGCUGGUGGGUGUGGCUCUGCAGAUUUUAACCUGAUUGCACUCCAUGGUAUCUUCAUGUUCCUUGGUUGGGGUGUCCUUCUUCAAGCUGGCGCCUUCAUUGCACGUUACUUCCGGCACAGAGAACCAGAAGGAUGGUGGUUUAAGAUGCACAGAAUUUUUCAAGUGUCGGGUCUGCUAUUGGCGAUUGCAGGCUUUAUUUGUGCCAUUAUGUCAGUUCCGUUUGAUCAUUUGAAGUUUGCUCAUGGAGGACUGGGCGUAGCCAUCAUGAUCAUUGGUGUGACACAACCUCUCAAUGCCCUUGUUCGUCCUCAUAAACACCCUGAUGGCACCAGGACAACAGGCCGAUUAAUCUGGGAGUUGUUCCACAAAAAUGUGGGCCGUCUUGGUCUUAUUCUGGCUCUCAUUAACAUCACCCUUGGUCUUUUCCUUGCCGUGGCCCCAGUGGCAGCGUGGGCGGUUUGGUUCGCUCUGCUUGGAACCUUUGUAAUUUUGUACCUGGCGAUGGAGGUCCGCUUGCAGUUGGGGAAGAAGAAUACGAAGACUGCAGCUAUUCCGAUGAAAUGAUUCUGCAAAAUGUACUCUUGUUUUUGAUUACAAACACACAAAAAAACACAUUCAUUUUGUGACGAAAGCCUAGUACCUGUUCAUGGGUUAGUUCCAAAGCAUGACAAUCUAACCUGCUGCUUAACAAAAUUUCUAGCUUUUAUGUCAACGGAAUCCCCCAUUACAACCUUCUUUUAUGAUCGGUGCCAAAGACACUCUACUAUCCAUUCUUUGAUAUAAUCGGUCUGGUCUCUGUACAAAAUUCCAACCUAUUACAACGAGCCUAGGAAUUUUUGUUUUAUGCGACUUUAAAAAGUCGCUUCUUUUGAAUGUUUUUGUGCAAUGGAUUAUUAGAGCGGUUUUCAAUUGAGUUUCGAAAGUAAUCAGUCAUUUUCUUUGGUUUUUGUUUUGGUUUUGUACGGUUUCUGAUUUAUUGAGUAUUCUAACUGAAUGUAAUUGUUUUGGUUUUGGUUCUACCGUAGUCAUUUCAAAGCCGCUCGUUCAGUUUAGUAGUAAUCUCUGUUAAGUGUUAAAACUCGUUAAGUCAGCUAUUUAUUAUCAUCAAUGGUAUGAAGUUUUCAGUGCGUAGUCAUAUCAAUCAUUUAGCAGCAGGAAAAGGUUUAUAUUUACGGUGUCAGGAUGUAGGAACUGACCAAUCUCUUCCCUCUCCAUGUGAAUGAAUCAGUUUGCAAUGAAAAGCACAUUUUUUUAUUUAUCAUAGUUUAUUAACAUUCAAGUUACGGACCUCAGCUACCAAGCCUCCGGUCGAUGCAUAGACGCUUGGCUAGAGUCUGUAGGUGCGUGUCCAAAAUAUCUUUGAGAAUCCCUGAGAACAUUUGUACUUUAAAACUUUUUAUUUAAUCUCUGCGGGUACAGGUAAACGCAGAUGUUUCGGUUUUUUCAUUCUGAUCCAAAGCAAACGCUUUUGUGUAGCUUGACUUAAAAAGGUCCAGUUCUACAAGCCAUUUGGUAGCAAAUUUUAAAUUCGUGUCCAGGACUUUUUGGUCCAUCUAUAAAUGGGACAACUAAUCAGACUGGCUCCUCUUCCUUUUCAUCAACAACCAUCAUAACGGUCGUCAUCCCGUCCGGACAAAUGCACGGUCUCGACGUUUCAGAUCACGUGUCUAUUCCUAGCACAAAAUAUCAAAUUCUAACAAAAUAAUCAUUGCCCCACUAAUUUAAAAAUAAUUUAGGAGUUAAUGAGAAUAAGUUCAGGGCGGGGAGAGAGGGGCGCACUGGAUUACUAAGCCUUGUUAGAGUGAACUGAUCUUGAUGACUGUAGAGCGUUUUCACUGUCAUGAAAUAAAAGAUAAUGGUUUGGACUUGAAA
rnacentral:misc_RNA from 1 species